UACGAAGGGGGCUAGCGUUGCUCGGAAUCACUGGGCGUAAAGCGCACGUAGGCGGCUUUUUAAGUCAGGGGUGAAAUCCUGGAGCUCAACUCCAGAACUGCCUUUGAUACUGAGAAGCUUGAGUCCGGGAGAGGUGAGUGGAACUGCGAGUGUAGAGGUGAAAUGCGCAGAUAUCAGGAGGAACACCAAUGGCGAAGGCAGCUCGCUGGGACGGUACUGACGCUGAGACGCGAAAGCGUGGGGAGCAAACAGG
rnacentral:rRNA from 1 species